rnacentral:rRNA from 1 species
UACAGAGGGUGCGAGCGUUAAUCGGAAUUACUGGGCGUAAAGCGCGCGUAGGCGGUUAUUUAAGUUGGACGUGAAAUCCCCGAGCUUAACUUGGGAAUUGCGUCCAAACUGGAUGACUAGAGUAGAGUAGAGGUGAGUGGAAUUUCCGGAGUAGCGGUGAAAUGCGUAGAUACCGGAAGGAACACCAGUGGCGAAGGCGACUCACUGGACUCGAACUACGCUGAGGUGCGAAAGCGUGGGGAGCAAAGCAGG